AGGCUGGGUGGUGCAGCUGGUUCGCCCCGUCCGCCAGGCGGGAGGCGUCGUAAGAGGGAACCCGGCGGGAAUCCGGGACUGCCCCGCAGCGGUGAGUGGGAACGAACGCUGUCAUACGCACUGGGCCCAAAAGGCCCGGGAAGCGACGGCCAGUAGGUGUCCUCCGUACGGAGGGCGUGCUCGCGAGUCCGAAGACCUGCCCGCUGCCCGUGCGCGAC
rfam:Streptomyces avermitilis MA-4680 = NBRC 14893 DNA, complete genome.